AAACUCAGUUUCCUUGCAAGGGGUUGGGGGGGCCUCCGCCAAGCUUAGAAUAGAGGGGCCAGGCAUCCUCCCCUGUAGCAGAGGCAUUUAGGUAAGAAACCUCACCUUGGUGGUCCUAGCCUUGCAUUU